rnacentral:rRNA from 1 species
CAGCAGCCGCGGGAAUACGAAGGGUGCAAGCGUUAAUCGGAAUUACUGGGCGUAAAGCGUGCGUAGGCGGUUUGUUAAGUCUGUUGUGAAAUCCCCGGGCUCAACCUGGGAAUGGCAAUGGAUACUGGCAAGCUAGAGUGUGUCAGAGGAUGGCGGAAUUCCCGGUGUAGCGGUGAAAUGCGUAGAGAUCGGGAGGAACAUCAGUGGCGAAGGCGGCCAUCUGGGACAACACUGACGCUGAGGCACGAAAGCGUGGGGAGCAAACAGGAUUAGAGACCCGCGUAGUCCCUGUCUCUUAUAC